UGUAGAGACCCAUAAUUAUUUUCUCAAAUUUUAAAUGUUUAAUAUGUGUUUGGAUUAUCGAAGUAUGGAUAAUGCAGAAGAUAUGAGUUAGGUCAAUGUGAGAUGACUUGUAAGUUGUGGGAGUUGAUGAUGUAGUUAUAUACUUGAAGGGUGUGUGUGUGAAUUGGCCUAUAUAAGGAUCAAAAUAUCAGGGAAGAUUAUUUUCUUCCCCUGUACGCCUCUCUCUUUCUCCCGUCCUCUCCUCUCUCUCGGCUCUCACCUCUCUCACCUUCUCUCUUCGAUUUCAUCGACCACGAGUGAGACUUUUGAAAGAUCCCAAGUACUAAAGUUGUUCUUUGCGACGAGAGCUUCCUAUCCAUCCAAGAAAAUUCAUGAUCGGAGCACUUUGAGGUUUCCUCCAUGUUCGGGCUUGCUUCUAACCUUCGAGGAAGUUCGAGUCGUCACGUGGAUCGAGGAAGCGACGCGUAGUGUGGCAGAGUGUUUACUUUAGUUUGUAAAUUUGUAGGUAAGCACAGCACUGAGAGGUUUAUCCUUUUGGUUUGUAAACCUAUGUAAGACUUUGGUUUGUUAUCAAUAAAAGUUAAACUUUUGCUU